CCCAAACUAUGGCACAAUAGCGUUCAGCUCCUCAGUCUAUUCUGUGUCCAGCAGGAGCCCGCGGUGAUUCAUUGCUCCAAUUAGGGGCUCUGCGGCCCGUGGCUCGGGCUGUCUGAAGGGUCUCCUUUGGGACCCACGAAACCCAUCAGCCGCUGCCGCUGAUCUUUAAGGAAAGGUCAAGCCGGACGCAUUAGAGCCAGGACUGGGAGAAGCAGAGCCUAAGCAAUGCUGACAGGCCAGGCUCUCUAGAGACCAAGGCAAGAAGAUCUCAAGUUCAAGGCCAGCUACACAGUGAGACCCUGUCUCAAAGGAAAAGAACUGAGAGACCCCUGCAACCCCCCACACACACAUGUGGGGUGCAGCAGUAGAGGUGUUCCUGCAUGCUGAAAUCAUCAGGUCUGCAUGAUGGUACCUCCUGUAAUCCCAGCACCCUGAAGAUGGAUGGGAAGUUCAAGGCCAGCCUGGGCUGUAGAGUAAAACCCUUUCUCAAAAAAAAUAAAAUCUUGGCUGGAGGCAGAUAAGAUCAAAAUGCAUUCUACACAACCAUGAAAUUUUCAAAGAAUAAAAUUAUUAAAAA